UCCUAAUGUAAGUAAUCAACUGGGUAAGUUUCAUGUUGAUAUGUCUUAGUUUCCCUAUUCUUCACCUGUGUCUCCCCUUAAUUAGCUAGUUAUGCUAAUUACGCAAAUUGCCCAACAUGCAACUCUUAGCAACCAAGUUGAAUUUCAUCCACUAGGUCUAUAGAUUACAUUUCAGUCAUAAAAGAUUAUGAGGAAGUGGUAUUCAGCACUCGUGAGUGGAACCAGCUUAAGGAAUUGACUUCAAUUCUCGCACCAUUCUCGGAGGCAACAGACCUGACAGAGGGAG
rnacentral:lncRNA from 1 species